AAGAUAGGACAUAUGCUAUAUAACAUAGGUACUGUAGUUCUGCUCAACAACCUACUCUUGUCAGUUAAUCUAGCAUCUCUUAUUAAUCAGUAAUAAAUCAGACACAUUAAUUUUUAUCCUCCCACUGAUGGGUAUUUAAUUAAUUCCAAGUUUUUACUAUUAUAAACAAUAUUACUAUGAAAUCCCUUGGAACUUUUACCUUUCCUUAUUUCUCUAGUCCUUUUUUUGGGGGGGGGGUACUGGAGAUUGAACCCAGGGGCACUUUAACACUGAGCUACAUCCUCAACCUUUUUGAAUUUUUUUAAUUUUGAGAUAGGGCCUCAAACUUGCCUCCGUCUCCGAGUCCCUGCAUUAUAGGUGUGCACCACUUCUCUAGCUCUUUCUUAAUCUGCAUUCUGUGACAUACAGUGAGAUUCAGUAGCCACUAGCCACAUAUGGCCAAGUAGCUCAGCACACAGUAGGCACUCAGUAGCUGUUGACUAUGCCUGUGAGAAGCUUUGCAGAAGUUCCCAGAGGUGCAUUUCGAGUUCGUGCACUUUCCAGACCUUCAUGUCCCCCUGGCCCCAAAGCAAACCAGAUGGUGCAAUGGCCUCUGAAAAUCUGGAGCCUGAAGCUAUAGCCCGCAACUUCCAUGCAGGGCAUUUUUGUCUUGUUUUGUUUCCAGAAUAAUUACACAUUUUGAAUCUCACCACAUGUUACGUUUAUGGACCACCUCCUGGGUGCCUGGCCCUGCACUAGGCGCCAAACCUGUUGCAGGCCUGAGACGGGCUCAUUUUAUGAGCUCACAAUGGAGCUGUUGUGGCAACCGUGGGUAAAGGGGAUAUCGCUGUUCGUUAAGGCUGGUCCCCAGCCCUAGGCACAGUUUCACUGGGAUGGAGGCCCAUGAGAUGUCGAGCCCGUUCUGUGCCUUAACCCCUCCCGUCCCCAUCCUGCUGAGGGAAGAGCUUGCCCGGCCAUCUUGCCUAAAAUCACCCCCCCUCACCUUUAUAGAGUGAUGGUGAAAACAGCUGUGGGCUUCACAAUGUCCCUGCUCAGAAGCCAGCGGAAGACUGGAUGCCCUACAUCUUUGUGAUGAGUUCUUUUUGUAGACAGAAUUUGACUCACCUGUCGACCAGGGGAUUCAGCUCAGUUAUCUCCAGCAAAGGUUGAAGGAAAGGGGUAAAAGCUGUGUGGAGCCUGUCUAGACGGUAGUUAGGCAGCUUCGUCUUUUGUAGCUACUGCCCCACCCACCAAAAAAAAAAGAAUAAAAUCAAACCAUGGAAACGAUGAAAAGAUGUCCCAAGAACCACAAAGCUUCAAGACCAUUUCGUACAGAAUAGAAUAUCUCAGCCACAUAGAGGAAGGAGUAGAGCUUCAUUCCAGCCAUCCCAAGAGGAUCGAUAAGUGAUUCAGCCUGCUUUCCAUUUUAACCUUGUUGUGGCUGAAAAUGUGGCCCACCAUGUACAGAGCCAUGGAAACCACCGUUCUGCCUCUGCUGAAGGCAAUGGACUUGAGUAA